rnacentral:rRNA from 1 species
UAGGGAAUCUUCGGCAAUGGGGGGAACCCUGACCGAGCAACGCCGCGUGAGUGAAGAAGGUUUUCGGAUCGUAAAGCUCUGUUGUUAGGGAAGAACGAGUGUGAGAAUGGAAAGUUCAUGCUGUGACGGUACUUAACCAGAAAGGGACGGCUAACUACGUGCCAGCAGCCGCGGUAAUACGUAGGUCCCGAGCGUUAUCCGGAUUUACUGGGCGUAAAGGGUGCGUAGGUGGUCUUUCAAGUCGGUGGUUAAAGGCUACGGCUCAACCGUAGUUAGCCUCCGAAACUGGAAGACUUGAGUGCAGGAGAGGAAAGUGGAAUUCCCAGUGUAGCGGUGAAAUGCGUAGAUAUUGGGAGGAACACCAGUAGCGAAGGCGGCUUUCUGGACUGCAACUGACACUGAGGCACGAAAGCGUGGGUAGCAAACAGG